UUAGGAAAUACUACUUCUCUGAAAGAGUGGUCAGGCACUGGAAUGGGCUGCCCAGAGAGUUGGUGGAGUCACCGACCCUGGAGGUGUUCAAGGAAUGUUUGGAUGCUGUGAUGAGGGACAUGGUUUAGUGAGAAGUAUUGGUGAUGGGUGGAUGGUUGGACUGGGUGAUCCUGUGGGUCUUUUCCAACCUUGGUGAUUCCAUGAUUAUAUGAUCUGAAUUUAAAUAUAAAUACUUUUCCUAAUGCUAUCACAGGAUCACUGGUACUAAAAUUCUUAAUAUCAGUGCAUGUGUUUGUAAGAUUUUAGUUUGUAUCUUAAGUAUUUUGACACUUUAAUUAUUACACACAUAGAGAAACCUAAAAUGAAGUAAUAAUUCUGCUAUAGUUGUUCAAAGAAAGAAAUUCUAGUUUGGUAGCAAUUUUCAUUUUCUUCCCAACCUAAUCAAGUCUCAUAAAAUCAUACUGUCUUAGAAAAUGUAUAACCAUGAUGAAGUCCUUUUUGUUCAUUUUGAUAGAGAAGAUCUUCAUAAAGCCCAAAACGCACACAAGGAAGGCAUAAAAAAAUCCUGAAAGCUGUAUUUUCAGCUUUCAUUGUGGGGAAUCUAGGUCUGUAUACAUCAUUAUCAACAAAAGAUUUUUACUACUGGCUUGUUGUCCAUGGAGAAAUGAAAUCAAAGAAAUUCUCUACUAUGGCAGUAGACAAGGCAGAAGAGCAGACCCCAUAUUAAUUCUGCUUGCUCUUUAAUUUCAGGAAGUCUGAGGCUUAUGGACAUGUUCAGGCAGGAGCUUUGUGUGAUCUCAGAGUAGCUGAAGGGCAUCAGAUGCCCUAUUUCUGCCACUAAGACGCGCCUCAGCAGACAAGUAACAGAUUAUAAAACUCAGACAGGAUUUUUCAGUCAUGCAUUUUUACUGUAUCCAUAAACCAACCACAUGAUUUUAAAGAGCAUAAAAAUCCCUUGUACCAGAGGAUUUUGAAGCAUAGAUAAUACUGUAGAAACUUGCUGUACUGCCAUUUUUACACAAAUAAUUGGGCAUAGAGUUGUACGUUGUACAGAAGAAAAAAAAAUAUCGCAUACUACCACACUGGAUGUAUAAUAUCAGGUUAAAAUUGUAAUAACCCAUCUCUGUCUUUACUGAAAUUGAAAACAAAAAAAUACUGUUUGAGAUGAAAAAAAAAAAAAAAGAAAGAAAAAGAAAAAAAAAAAGAAAUUGAACACCUGCAAUACAUUAUUGGGUUAUAUUGUAGCUGGUAUGUCUGCAAUUUGAAUUCUCUUUCUGUUCCACUUCAUAUUCAUUGCUGUGUAAAUCAAGUCUGUUUGCUAAGAUGAGGACCUUCCAUUUUGUGUUGUUUUAUUCUAAAAAAUCUGGUUGCGUACUUACCAUUCCCUGCAACUUCUUACAAAAUACAGCCAUUUCUUCUGUCUUACUUUCUCUCUUUCUUCCAAAUGGAUAAUUGCAUUGUUGAUGACUUGCAAAAAUUCUUGAUUUAUAUCUGUAAACUGUAAUCUGUCCAUUUGGGUGAUGAAGACUGAGAGAUGUAGGAAGCAUAGAGAUCAGGGAUGUGUGUACAUUCCCUUGGUUGUGGUCUGAUUCUAGCUGGGCUGCAGCCCUGAGAGAGAAAGGUGUGACAUGCUUGGAAGAUGAUCUCAGAGUGGAAAACAAUUUGCUUAUGGGCAAGGGCAAUUAUAACUACAGAGAAAGCAGAUAUGGGAUCAGUGGGCAUAAAGGAUGCUUUUGCUGUUAGUGCUCCUGGCGUUAUCAGUGAAGGUAGUUUGUGCAACUAGGUGUUCUGUGAUCUACUGUAGUGUUAGAAGCUUGUGUCAUAUCCUGUUUGCUGCUGAGGAGGGAAUUGUUUCAUAAGUUGAUCUAAGACUUUAUUAAGCAGUGUAUUUCUCCUUUCUUCCUCUUCCCAUAAACUAGUACAUUUUGUUUCCACAACUGAAAAGAAAGCUAGAUGACUUGUUUUAUGAAGAACAAAUAUUGAUGCUCUUUGCAUAUUUCUAAAAAAAAAAUCUUUUUUUUAAAGUUUCCCAAGAAAAUUGAUUUCUAACUAGUAAUGGUUUAAUUAAUCAGAUAUGCCAUAUCUCUCCUGUUCCUUCUCUUUUUCUCUCUUUAUCUCUGCAGUGCUAAAUUUGCUGCAGUAUAUGUGGUCAUUUACUCUUGCUAUUAAAAGAAUAAUGACAUUAUUUCAAUUGAUUAUUAAAAAAAUUGUAGGGAUUGUUUCAUUCAUUUUCUACUUUCUCAUCUUGUGUUCCUGGCAUUUACAAAAACAAUAGCAUUAGUGAAAAUUUACUUUUUAAUUAUUACUGCAUCUGUUCCUUUUUACUGACUGAUGUGGCAAAGGAGUCAGUCCUGCUGUUGCGACUGAUCACUUGCCAUAGCAAUUUAAUUUCUGUGAAGUUUGGAGGGGGAACUGAAAUGAACAAACUUAUUCUGUAUUGUUUUUGGAAGUCUUUUCAGUCUUGAAGAAGUACCUUUUAUUUUGUUGUGCAUAAUUAAUGCAUCAAGCCACUUCACACAUAGGACAUGACUCUACCUACAUUUGAGUGCAUUUGAACUCAUGCCUUUCUUAAAAGAUCCCUAUUAUAACAGUGUAUUUUACUAAUGUGUGACAGUUCACUUUAGAUUGUUGCUGACAUGCUCGGGCAGUGUUUUUCUUGGUCAGUAAUUUAGCUGUGAGUCAGGAGCUCGGACCCAUAUGGCUUGAACAAAAAAGCUAGUGAGCAUUUACAGCAAGAUUGCUUUUUAGUUACUUAGGAAUACACUAAGCUAAGGUUUUCACUUUCUGUUAUGAAUUGUUUCUUUUUCUUUCUUUUUUUGGUAUAUUUUUUGAGGGUUUCUUAUGUCUGAUUUUUUUUUCUAAACCUUUUUUACACUUGCUUUAUUUAUUCUAUAGCUAUUUAUUCUUAACCAAAGACAUACAUUCAGAUAUAUGACAAAGAUUUUUUGAUGGAAGAAAAUCAUAUGAAGGCUCUGUUAUGGCAGCUGUUUCUGUUUUUAUCCUAUAAGUUUAACUCCCACAUCCUAGCCAAGAUGGAACUUAUACCUGUAUAGUCCCUGCUCAAAACACUGUCCUGUUUCACCUGAAAGUAGCUACAAUCUGCAGCCUGUGUGACAGGAGCUGGAAUGUGGCAGAUACAGAAGCACAGACAAGAUUAUAAACUCUGUCUUAGGCUCUCUCUUACUUAUGCUCCCUCUUUACUAGCAUUACAGUGCAUAAUACCUAGUCUGCUGUCCUCUCAGGUCUUCCCUGACCCAUAUGAGCAAAACUGUUGAUAUUUUGAGUUUUAUGAAAUUUGAAAAUAAGGAUGGAACACACAAAAAGACAAAUUCUGAACAUUUUAAGGAAAACAUGUUGUUUAGCAUAGAUACUCUUUAAUGCAAGGAUUUUUGAAGGAAAUCUUUAACAUAUUCCACCUUUUCCCCAAAUGUAUUCUACUAAGGGAAUAACUAUAAGCUAUUUGUUGGAAACAUCUGUUCUGUGUCUGUGAUGAGAGCCCAGAUUCCAUCAGAAUAUGACUUUGAACAUCCAGUGUUCAUAGCAGGUCUGGCAGGACAUUUUGUAUAUUCAUUAAACAGCAGUUGUAAAUAUUCACUGAUGUGCCUGUGUCAUGCCAGAGAGCAGUACAUCUCUCCUUCUAUGCUUGUAAAACCUACGAUGCUUGGGUGAGCAGGCACAUACAUUUAAUUUGUUUGUUUUUUGAACAAAGAUAAGAAUGAAGAUAAAGAAUGUUUCUACCCCAGGAAACAUCACAUGUAGUUAUGCCAUUAAAAAUACUUUCUUCCAAGAAGAUAAAUAACUCUUUAUCAUCUAAACCAGAUACUUUCAUUUUUCAAUUGACUCUAUUGUAUACCUGGAAGACUACUUAGAAGCACAAAUGCAGAUUAUUUUUCCAUUCUCACUGAAAACCCAAAUUUAAGCUCAACUACUACUUCACUGUGAGAAAUUAGUUUCCUUUUUUCCUUCUGUACUAACAUCCAAAAAAUACCACGAUUGCCAUGUUAGGACUAAAGUAUGCAUUUGCCAGAAACUUCCUAUACUAGAGCAGUUGAACUUAGUUAUUCAGGUCAUAUAAUAUUUUUUGACCCCAUGUUCUUCAGUUGUCUUUGUGCAUGUCAUACCGACCACAGAUGAGAAUACCAUGCUGCCAAACUGGUUAUUUCCCUUCACUGAAUUGUUAUUUAAUUGGAACUCAGAAACAGUGAGAUAGAAUACAAUGUAUUACAAUGUUAAAGGGUUUGGAAUACCAAAUAGCACUACAUCAGCGUAUCCUGGAGGAUCAGGAUGACAGCAGCAAACCAGAAAGGACUGAUUUAAACACUAUUGCAAAGCACACUUUGCAGCCCAUCACUGAGUUUGCAGGGCUUAUUUGCAAAUCUGGCUGUGUCUCUUAGAAAAGGCGUGCUGUGUCUGUUAUUGAUUUCUAUGGCUUUUUAAUCACAACUAAAGGUUGCCAUAUAAGUAUGUUUUCCUAUGGGAACAGAAAAAAAAAAGAGACAUAAGUCUGAUCUUGUACUAUUUAAGAGAAGGUAUUAGAUAUAAAAGAGAUUUGCCUGUACCAAGUACUGAAUCUCACUCUGAUAAUGAGGGAAAAGUGCAUUAAAAAUAUGACCACAGGGCUUCAGAUGGUGUGAGUGAUAAAAAUUCAGUGCAACAUUGAGCCUUCUGUAGUAUAACGUUUAAAAAAAAUGCAUUUCUGAUGACAGCAGCUUAGAAAUCACUCUUCUGGGUUGUAAAGAAGCCACUCAAACAAGAACAGUGAAAUAGGUGUGGAGGUAAAGUAGUUGCAGGUGGAAAGGUAAAACAGCAGAGUGGGUAAUGACUGAGUACCUACAAUAAUACAGAAAGUCCUGAAGAAAUCUGAGUGCACUGUGUGCAUGUGAGGAAGAGUUUGAAACUGUCCUGAAGAGACCUCAGUUUUCAUACUAGAUUUCAGUGUUGCACUUCUAAUAAUUUUACUCUCAUUCCACUCUAUCCAUUCUGUCCUCUUCUGCAAAAUUUACAGACUCGUGAUUUCUUUUCUGGUAUUUGAUGUACAUGAUUAUCAGUGGAAUGAAGUUAAGGUUCACUCUCUUGCAUUGUUCUUAAUGAUUUACAUCUCAUGUACUCACUGUACUUUCUCCAACAUGUGAGUGGAGAGUAUGAGAAUCUUUUUUCCUUGCUGUAAGAAGUUUUAUCACUCUUUAAAAAAACCCCAACUUCAAGGAGUUCGCCUUCUGAGACACCUGCUUCCUGUCCCCAGAGUAAUUUUGUGCCAAGAGCACAAAGAAUAAAGUCUUACUGAUAGAACCUUGUUUCCGAGUGGUCUUUUCAAAGUGGCUCCAGUUUCUGCUGUGUAGAAGAUGAUUUGACAAAGUAGUAAUAGUCAGUAUUGUGGGAAGCCCCAUAGGAGGGACAUCUGAAUCACAAUAUUAAACAAACACAGAGGAGGAAGGAAUGUAGGUAAUCCAUUUCCCAGGAGAUGCUUCUGCAGCUGUUUUUGUUUUCCAGUGUGGGAGCCAGAAACAAUAUUUCCAUUUGGCUUUAUUAAAGUACACUGAAUUUUUUCUUCACAGAUGUUCCCACUAUUUCAAUGACAUGCUGGGAGAGGAAAAUUGUAGCAAAAUUUUCUUGCAGUGUUCAUGGAAUCAUACAAUCACAGAAUGGUUUGGGUUGAAAGGGACCCCAAAGAUCUUCAAGAUCUAACUCCCUGCCACAGACAGGGUUGCCAGCUGCUAGAUCAAGUACUGGAUCUGGUUGCACAGGGCCCCAUCCAGCCUGGCCUUAAACACCUCCAGGGACAGGGCAUCCACAGCUUCUCUGGGCAACCUGUUCAAGCACCUCACCACUUUCUCAGUAAAGAACUUCCCUUGACAUCUAUUCUGAAUCUCCUUUUAGUUUAAAACCAUUACCCCUUGUCCUAUCACCAUCUACCCAUGUAAAAAGUUGAUUUACCUCAUGCUUAUAAACUUCCUUUAAAUACUGGAAGGCUGCAAUGAGGUCUCCCUGCAGCCUUCUCUUCUCCAGACUGAACUGGAGAAGUUCAGCCUAUUUUCCCUUCCCCUUCACUUCAUCUAAAAAAAUUAUGAAGCUUUAAAAUGUUUUCCAUUAAAAACAAACAAAGAAACAAAAAAACCCAAAGAAUUAGCCAAUUUAUUAUAAAAAGGAUAAUCUCAAACUUAUCAAGUUUCUAUUAAGCUGUACCCAGUGAAAGAGAAGGUUAUAGCUAAAUGACUUACUACUUAUGGGAGAUGACAUGUUUUGCAAUGUUUCUUCCCUUGCUUAUGUUAGAGAUCAUGGUGCUUAUGAACCUCACAGAAACACAAAAUUUGUGGUAUGUUUACUUAUUUAAUACACAGUAGAGCUGCCAGAAAAUUUGGAACGUGAAUUAUUUUGUUUUGUUUUUAUUGUAAUGUCAUGUUGUUCCUAAAAAAACCUGUAACUGCUCCGCAUAGUAGCAGAAUCUUAUCACACCGUUGCACAGCAUCCUCAUGUGUGCCAUAGGGAAUAAAUAAGUUACAGAGAGAACCUGAUGGGAAGAUGUCUCAGUACAGAAAAACAGACGUAUCUGAGAACAGGAAAAAAUCAAUUUGAAGAACUGAAACUAAAACAAAAAAUGCCUUCUAAACAAUGUAUGCCAUUACAGGGAGAUAACUUCCCUUCUUCAUUCAUGCAUAGAGUUGAAUUAAUUUUCAUUUUAUUUUUUUCUUACUCUCUCUUCUCCUCGGUGAUAUAUUUGCAGUCAACAGAAUUUCCGUUUGCAGAUAGGGGUAUUUGUAAGAUAAAUCAUGUUCAUUUUCAUUUCACUGUUUCAAGACAAUUACAUCAGAGAAUGAUUUUAAGCAACAACAAAAACAAAUAGACAAAUAAUAAUAAUUAAAACAAACAAACAAAAAAAACAAAAAACAACUGAGGAGCCAACACAAACAGCUAGUGGGAAUGAUUGAUUGUUACUUAAAAGUUUAAGUCAGUUUAUGUAGAGGAAGAUCCCACAAGCAUGAUGAGAUUAUGAUUCAAAUUAAGAAUAGAUAGCCGUAUCUGAAUUGUAUGACUAAUUUAUCACAUUUGAUGAUAUUACAGUUGAUAAUUUCAGACUCAAAACUCUGCUUUAUGUGCAUCGAAAAAGGAGCAUUACUAUUUUUGCGUUACUGCACUGUAGACUGAGACAAAACUCUAGUCUGCAGCCAGAAGUUUAUGACCCUUCUCUUGCUGAAGAAAUAAUGCAGUCAUCUGGAUUAGCCGUAAUUAUCAUUUAGGCCUUUUGAAAGCAGCACAGUUAAGAUCAUCAGAAGCAACUAGUGAUUUGCAUAACUUUGUGUUUGCCAGCCACUCAAAGCAUGCACAUACAUACUGCUGGUGCAGCUUCUUGCAAAGAUUCUGAAUUCAGUCUUUACUGUGUUUGAGAUUUUAGUCUAAACUGAGUUGAACAGAGAGCAAUUUCAAGGUAAAACACAAUUUUACCUUCAUGGUAAUAAGUACAUUAAAGUUUUCAGGGUCCAUUAUACAGUUUUAUGGUUGGAAACAUCCAAAUAAUUUAUCAGGAUGUGAUAUAAUAGAUGUGGAAUGUGUUUCUUUAAAAUUGUUUUAAAAAAGGAAGCUGUUAUUCAAACCUUGCUGAACUGCAUAAGGAAGAUAACGGCUGUAAAUCUUGGGAAGAUAAGGCUGAAAGGACUGCAUCUGGCCAGGAUGCUCUAUUCCUGAAAAGAAUGUAACAGAUUAACCACAAAGACAGUCAGCAAUUAGGCUUAAGUCAGACCAAAGGGUGAAAAAGGACAAGAAGAAGAAGACUCUGAGCCUUCAUCUUACGAUCCCAAAGACCAUCACCACAAUUCAGGACUCAUGCUAAAAGGGGCUGGGCUAUGGGUGGAGAAUAUGAUAAUAAUCUCUUGGAAGUAAUUAUGAUAUAUCUCCUAUUCAUGGCAUAUGUAUGACUUGUCUCUAUAAAUGUUCUUAACCUCUACCUCAUGGUGUGCAAGCUAGAGAGGGGUUACCUCAUUUGCACCCAGCGUGUAUGUGCAGUGCUGAUUAAAUCACAUUAAAUCACACACAGUUUAUAGCUACUUUGUGGUUAUAGAGUUUGAUUCCACAAGUCAGAUGAUAUCUCUGAUAAAAGUGGAUUUUAUUUGUGAUUGCAAUGGCAGGAGUGCGCUUGCAGAGACGGUGUUACAUCUUUUAUGCCCUAUUACCCAGUGUUUAUCUUUUCCUCCCCUGGUUCCUCAUUUGAGGAAGUAUAUAGCGGCAGCUUUAUGAAUGGCAGAUUAGGGAAGUUUCUAAGGAACCAAGAAGGGAUUAGUGCAUCCUCUGUCAGAGACAGUAAUUAAAUACCAGAUAUCCACAUCAUAGUUUUCUGCUACCAUAAAAUGCAGACUCACAGCAUCUGUCUUUUUUAUCUUAAGUUUGGAAAGAAACACUUUCUCUUCAGUUGUGUAAAUAAGGUACUAACUGCCACACUACUAACUAGAUUUUAAACAGGGAAUGGAGGGUGGAGGAGUCAUUAUCUGGUAAAAUAAUGCCAAGUGCAUAACUAUCCUUGCUUGAUAUUUAUUAUACUGCCAUCAUUAAUAUUUCUUCUCUCAAAAUUAUUCCCAGACUUGAUUCACGUGUUCAUUAAUGUCACAUUUAUUUUUUAUGUGAAAGAAUAAAAGCAAUCGCCAUAGACCACUUACAGUUCAGGAGCACGAAGUACAAGUUUAAAUCAUACGUGCUUCAUGAAUGUACAAUACCUCUUUUAACAUAUUUGCAGUCACGUAAGAAACAACUUUAAUCACUAAAAUAAACUCAUCAAUGUCCUCACUUCUGUUGAAAUCAUGAAUUUGGGCCAUCAUUCUCAGUGUGUAGGUGGUAAAACUUAGUCAUUCAGUCUGGAAGCUGUAGAAGUACCCUGCCUCUUUCCAUAUGAAUCCCUAUUCUGCUUUGUGCCUGUCCAGUGUGUUGGCAAUUUCUUUUAAUAAGGACUGAGGAACAGUCUGUCUCAUUUACAGACUCAGUAAGUCAUAGGUUUCAUUACUCUGCCUUUUGUGAUAUACUUGGCACUCUAAAAGAUAUUGCUAACUAGAUGAUAGUUCAGUAGCCAGCCCUUCUGAUUUACUAGGAUUUUCAUUAAGAAGAUUUACGUACAGGACUAAAUUUCCUUGCUAUGUAAGACAGAAAUGUUAAGAGACAAAGCCUUUAUGAAAAGCAAAAAACUGACAAUUACAAAGUCAACAUAGAAUUUGAUUAGUGAUAGAAAAACUCGAAAACUGAACAGUUCACAGUCCUUACUUGUGUGGGAAUCAAAUGUUGUUUCUGCAUUAGAAUUAGAUAAGAAUUUUUAAUUUCAUGGUCUCCGCUGCCAUAGUUCUUCUUGGGAGUCUUUCUACUAUACUUGGGGGUGGUCUCUGCUAGUUUGCAUCACUUACCUUCUAGGUGAACCUUCCCCAGGAAUGCAUGCUCAGUAUAUAUGCUGAAGUAUAUAUGUAAUUUUUUGUCAUAUACAUUGCAAGAAUAUCCUGCACAAGAUUGAUCAAACCAGAUAAUAAGUGAUGACAUGCCCAAGGAAGCGCCUGAAGAGACAUUGGGAAGUCCUGGCAUCCUCUUACCCCCUGGUACUCUUUGUUUAAUGAAGACUUUGAAGAAAAUCACCGUAUGAGUACGAUAGGAAGAGUACUGAGGCAUCUUGGAAACAACAGCAUGGCUACUGACUGACACCAGAUAACACAAGAAUUAACGAAUGUAAACCUUUGAUAAAACUGUGAACCUGGAGUACCCAGCCAAUGGGGAAACAGGGGAGGGAAUAGGCAAAGGGGGGAAACAAGGUACAAAAGCUGUCACUGUGUACUUAGGGGCACUUCUGCUUGUGGGAGGCCCGCCAUUGCAAUCACAAAUAAAAUUUGCUUUUAUCGGGGAUACCGUCCUGACAAAAUUAUUUGGAUAUUUCCAACAGUUGGAGGAAGAUAAAUUCUAAAAUCUUUGUCAGUUGUUUACCAUGGGUGCUCUGAGAAGUUUAUUCUGUAGAAAGUGGGGUGGCUAUGAUGUCAAAAAUUUUAAGUGUUAAUUUGCUAAAAGGUAAAGUAAAUAAACAAUUUGAAACUGUUAUCAGAGAUAUCAGUGACCUUGCAUGUGAAUAACAAAAUAAAAAAAACUGAGAAAGAUACUUUAGUAGAGAAAGAGUGAUUAAAAGGGAAGGCCCGAUAAUAGUUCUCACUGAUCAGAAAAUAUCUGAACUUUAAAUAAAUAGUCUUUC
rnacentral:lncRNA from 1 species